GACGAACGCUGGCGGCGUGCCUAAUACAUGCAAGUUGAGCGCUGAAGGUUGGUACUUGUACCGACUGGAUGAGCAGCGAACGGGUGAGUAACGCGUGGGGAAUCUGCCUUUGAGCGGGGGACAACAUUUGGAAACGAAUGCUAAUACCGCAUAAAAACUUUAAACACAAGUUUUACGUUUGAAAGAUGCAAUUGCAUCACUCAAAGAUGAUCCCGCGUUGUAUUAGCUAGUUGGUGAGGGACAGGCUCACCAAGGCGAUGAUACAUAGCCGACCUGAGAGGGUGAUCGGCCACAUUGGGACUGGGACACGGCCCAAACUCCUACGGGAGGCAGCAGUAGGGAAUCGUCGGCAAUGGACGAAAGUCUGACCGAGCAACGCCGCGUGAGUGAAGAAGGUUUUCGGAUCGUAAAACUCUGUUGGUAGAGAAGAACGUUGGUGAGAGUGGAAAGCUCAUCAAGUGACGGUAACUACCCAGAAAGGGACGGCUAACUACGUG
rnacentral:rRNA from 1 species